rnacentral:lncRNA from 1 species
GGUGAGGGGUGGGAUGCGGGAGAGUCUGGGUGCCUUCUUGCAUUCUCGGGUUCUCUCUGCCUGGGGGAAGCUUCACCUGGCGGCCAGGUUGGGGGAUCGCCUUCUUUCACCUGAUGGCUGUGCCGAAUGGCACAGUGAGUUAACCCAGAGGAGAGGGCCAAACAGACGAAAAGAUUUCCGGAGGUGGGCAAGACAAACUAUGUCCAGCAAUUACAGAACUCUUUCAAGGGCUCAGCAAAGUUAGAGGGCUUAAUGAAGUCAGCACAAUGCCAUCCACUAACAGCAGUGUCUGGAAACUGACACCAUCUACAAGGAAUCUCUGUUAGAAAUUAUACUGGAUUUUCUGCAUCACAGUGGCAAAUACCUUUGGUAAGAAUACAUCUCCCUUUUUAUGUCUCAUUUUGAGUUUCACGUGAGGGUCAUUAAAUAGGAUUAUUUCUAUUAUUAAAUAUUCCUGAGACUCUUAAAUCACUUUGAUAUGUGGACCAGAAACAGUGUUUUAAAAGAACCUGGAAAGUAGAUUUUUGUUCUGGAGAAUCAAAUUGUUUUUCAUAGUCAAAAUGUUACUUAACAAAUAACAGGAUUUUUUUCUUAUUGUAUCAAUGAGCUGGCUCUGACUUUUGCCAAAUUUCCUCACAAGAAAUUAUAGGAGAAUCAGGAUUUGAUGUUUAUGAUAUCUGCUAUUGCCAUGUAUUACACGAUUGCAUUUUUAAUGUUUUCCUCAAUGUCUUUUCACCCCCUUAUCUUUCUCUUUUCCCCACACCAGGCCAUCCCUGAUAACUUAGUAGAUUUAAGAGAAAAAAUCAGCAUGUCUGGCAAAUACCUUGAAAGUCUGAAAUGUGUAUAAUUUGUAAAACUUGUAGGAGUUUACAAAGGGUUGGGUGUCGUCUUUUGAGCCAUGAUUGUUCUAUAUGAUUUUGCAGCAAUAUUCAUUCUGUGUGCCUGUGUGAUUAUUCUUUCCAUUUAUGAUACUGUAGUCAUUGUGUAUAGGGUUUUUGUCACUUUGCUUAUUUCAUUCUUAAUCAGUUUAUAAAAUCUUGAACAUGUAGAAAUAGGUAGAUACUUCUCUGGAUUGAUCAUCAUGACAGAUCAUCAUGAGCCAUAAUUUGCUUAGCCAUUUUCCAAUUGAUAGGCAUUUUCUUUUUUCUGAUUCUUUACCAGCACAACAAAAGCUCCUAUAAAUAUUUUCUUGUAUAUAUGGGUACCGUCUUCCUAGCUGAAGUAUAAGCUCAGAAAUGGAAUCU